GGAAGGAAACACCGGUCGUCGGCCGAGUCCAUGUCUCCAGUCUCCAGAGCGCGAUGGCGAUCUCCCCAAGCCACACCAGCACCCAGCUUCGCCUAGACUUCUCGGCCCGGCGCUCUGCGCCUCUGCCAUAUACUCGUCGCGUGCCAGCGUGCCGCGCCUUCGCCUUCGCGAGGCACCCAAAAAUUGCUAAAACCCUCGUUCGCCUGCCCAACCGGUAAACCCCAGCGAUGCGGCGGCUCCCGAAAUCCCUCCUCCUCGCCUGCCUCUCCCGGCCACUCCGCCCCCGAUCCCCGCUCCCGCUGCUCCCCACGCCGCCUCCCCACCACCCGCUUCCUCACCGCCUCCCCUUCUCCACCCAAACCCUAACCCCGUCCCCUCCUCCUCCGCCUCCCGAUGCGGCGCCGCCGCCGGCGUCCAAGCCCGCGGGCCUCGCGCUCCUGGAGGCGGCGGAGCUCCACGAGUCCGAGGGCGACCACCGCAAGGCCCUUGACCUCGCCCUCAAGGCGGUUGCCCCGCUGCACGAGUCCCACGGCGGGUGGUCGCUCCCCGUCGCUCGCGCGCUCCGCCUCGCCGGCGCCGCCGCCUCCCGCGUCGGCCUCGCCGGCGACGGGUUCGAGUCCCUCGGCGCCGCCGCGGAGAUCGUCGACCACCUGGCCCCCGCGCGGGGGCGCCGGGAGCCCGAGGUGGCGGCGGUCGGCGCCGCCGUGCACGAGCAGCUGGCGCGCGCGAAGAUGGCCGUGGGGAGGCGGUGGGACGCGGUGGGCGACCUCCGGCGCGCGCUGGAGCUGAAGAGCGGCUGCCUGGAUGAAGGGAGCGCGGAGCUGGGGGACGCCUACAGGGAUGCCGCCGAGGCCUAUGCGGGAGUGCUGGACUUUGACAAGGCGCUGCCGUUGUGUUCCAAGGCGUUGGGGAUUGCAGAGGGGCGAUUCGGUUUGGACUCAAAAGAAGUGGCUAAGGUCCGGCGGCUUCUUGCAGUUGUCUAUACUGGGUUAGGUCGCCAUGUGGAUGCACUGGAGCAAAUUGAGCUGGUUAAGAUGGUGUAUGAGCAAUUGGGAUUGAAUGUCGAGCUUUCCCAGGUUGAAAUUGAUGGGGCCAAUAUCCGUAUUUUGUUGGGGAAAUCGGAGGAGGCGUUGAAUGACCUUAAGAGGGUGAUGAAGCGGGCCGACAAGGAGAGCGAGGAACGUGCACUAGCAUAUGUUGCAAUGGCAAAGAUCUUGACCUCCCAGGAGAGGAUCUCGGACUCAAAACGGUGCUUGGAAAUUGCUCGUGGGAUUAUCGACACAAAUGAUUCCAUGAACCCUGGGCGAGUUGCUGAGGCAUAUGCUGAGAUAUCAUUGUUACACGAGGCAAUGGCAGAGUUUGAAACGUCUUUAAGCUUGAUGAAGAAAACACUUGCAAUUCUCAAGGAUGCCAAGGAGAUGCAGCACAUUGAAGGCAGCAUCUCUGCAAGGAUGGGGUGGCUCCUCCUGCAUUCGGAAAGAGUUGCUGAGGCUGUUCCUUAUCUGGAGACUGCAGUUGAGAAGUUGAAGAAUUGCUUUGGGCCGCAGCACUUUGGGCUAGGUUUUGCUUAUAAGAAUUUGGGCGAGGCCUAUCUCGGGAUGGACCGACCUGAAUCAGCUGUGAAGUUCCUCAUGCUUGCAAAGGGUAUUAUACAUGCUACAUUUGGGCCAACGCAUGAGGAUUCCAUUGACACAACUCAGUCCAUUGCAAAUGCAUACGGCGUGAUGGGAAGCUACAAUCUUGCUAUGGACUUUCAAGAACAAGUCAUAGAUGCUUACAAAAGCUGUGGUGCUGAUUCCUCAGAUGACCUCAGAGAAGCUUGUAGGCUUCGAGAGCAGAUCAAGAUGAAGGCGAAAGGGUUGCGUCAUGCAGUAUUUCCAGCAAAUUCAUUGCCGGUGCUACCUGACCGCAAUGACUAGUGCUUCUUCAUCAAUGCCAAUAUUUAGAUUAUUUGAUGGCUUUUUUCAGUUGACUACCUUUUAGCACUUUGCCAACCAAGCAACAUAUGGACUGUUACAUGGAGGCAGCAGAGAGAACGGCUAAUUUCCCAGUGGGCAUGGCAUUAUGUUUUUACUAGGCAUUUUACAUGUUCUAUGUGAGUUUCUGAUAUUUAGCUAUACUUACUGCAUACAGCUAUUGCCUUGAAAGUAUUGGUGCAUCUAGCUCAGUUGAUUUGAAGGGUGUGUUUGUCUCAGAGGCUCAGGGCAGCCAACCAAACAGCAUCUCCCUGGGGCUAGGCUGAUGCAAACCAAGAAUUUUGCCUAGAGCCUCACUGAACCUUCAACUGGGUCCAACCUUUUUUCAGGAAACCCAGCAGUCCCUUGCCUAAAUGUCUGAAUCUGAUAAUAUGUUAGGCCACCCAGUAGUCCAUUGCCCAUCGACUUACAUCUUUGAUACACUUGGAUCUUUCUUUCAGUUUAGUCCCCUGUGGAGAAUGAGGACUCGUAACACAGGCACAAGCUUGAUGAUAUUCGUGGUGGAAAAUUCUCCAAAUGCAUCUAUUGUGCUUCUAUAUUUGACAUCUGGAUAGUUACAUUGUUAUCUUUUGAGUACCAGACUACACGUGCAGCACCAAAUCUCCAGGUCAAGAGCUUUCCUCUUCUUUUUAAUAGAUGGUUUCUACUCGGGCUCAAUGACAAGCCAUUGUUCCGUAAAAAGGUCCCAGCAUUUACUAUUCUGACGCUGUUUCUAUAACCAAAUAGUUCGGUCAAUAAAUGCAUGUUUGUCUUACGAGAUUGUUUUAUUAUGCAUGUGCUUUAUGCGAAUCUGCUGGAAGACAUUGAAUAUAUACUCAAGUGUAAUCUGAAGUUGGUUUAGCUUGCUAAAGUUUGAUGAAGUUUUAGCAUUUAAAUUGAACUGAUUGAGGAAGCUCAUGAGUCCAUCCUAAUCUGGAAUCUGGUGCCCCCUCAAAUACUAAUCCACUAAGCAUGCUACAGCUAUUAUUUUACAAAUGCAGUUCUGUUGAUAGCCUGGCGAUGUUUCAGUUGAUUCUGUUAGGUUUAUUUUUUCCUAAUUAUAUUGUCUUCACUUAGACUGCUCUGAGUAAUAUGCCACAUUCUUUUUGUCUUUUCCUAUUAUAAUGUUGGCCUUGUGCCUUCUAAAAGAUACUGAACCUUAAAAAGGAGAGUUUAAUGCAUAUUAUGAGGUCCACAUUGUAUUGCAGGAAUUUUAACCAAAUCAGAAAAUCUGUAGUUCCAAGAAGAUCCUGCACGGUGCAGACAUUAAAUACAGUACGCUCAAUUUUAUGGCUAUUUUGGAAUUCAGUUGUGCACCACUGUAACAGAAAUUGGUGGAUCUUGAUGUCUUUUUUGUCAGUUUAUUCGUUUGCUGGCAGCUGGAUGUAUAUGUUUGGCAAGUUGGAAGCAUCAAUUCAGUAACUUCACUGACGUGGGACCGUGGACAAUUUUUCAUGCAUUCUGCACUGCAGCUCAUGGCAGGAUUCAGAAGGGUGAUAGACGCUGGCAGACAAAAGGCAUUCGGAAGAGUGUGUUGCUGGCUGGAAUCCCAAUGGCACGUCUGUUCAUGAGCUCAGCAGUCUGCAAGCCGUGGUCAUGCAUGGGUAUCCUGAGCUACUCCAUAUGCAUCAGAGAUGGCUGCACUGAUAGUUAAUGACGCCUGCUGCUGCAGCUCUGGUUGACCGCUCAGUAACAUCAGACUUCCCCAGAGAUCACUGCAUCAGUCAUGUUCUCUAACUUCCAGUACUCCUACGAUGGUGCAAGCUGCUCAGCUCUAUCACUGCAUCCAUCAUUUUGUUGCCUCAACAGUUGGAUGUGCUCAGAGAUGGCAGAACUACGCAUUUUCCUCGUCUGUCUUCCAUUCAUCAAUUGGCAUUGAUUGCAUUGCCAGUUUGAUUGACUGUGAUGUACUUCUGCAUUUGGCGAUGGAUGGCGAGGGCUCAAUGUGAUUCCUGCUUAGCUUGUGUGUUGCCUCGCUUGUGCGAGUAUGGGCAUGUGGAUUUCAUACCAGUGGUGGAAACUGGGCACAAGACAGCUCAGAAGCCAAACGUUGCAGUGCCUAAAGUUCAUUGAUGCCUCUGCUGUGCUACUGGAGUAUUAGAGUGUGGCCGUGACUCUCUCUAAGGUGUACAAAUGUCUCCACUGUCUCUGCUACAUUUCAGUAUUGCACUAAGGUGCUCAGGAAUACUACUUUUAUGGCCUUGGGGUAAGAGAUCUGUUUGAUUGUUUCUGACACGCUGACUGAGUGCUAGUUCUCUUUUCCGUGGUCACAUACAGUUGCUAUUGUCAGACCCUUAAGUGGAGUGAGGUCGUUAUGUAUUUGUUCCCUUUUGCCUC